rnacentral:lncRNA from 1 species
GACUGCGCAGGUGCACAGGGCUGAGACCAGCAGGUGGGCCUCGACUCCCACGUGGCUGGUGGCCUCCCGAGAAGACGGCCUCCGAAGACAGAGAUGGGAGCCCAGGAACACAGGGACUGACGGCAAAGCAAGAGGGCCGCAGAGGAGGAAGGGCUCCCUAUGGACCUGAGUGCUCAGAGCUCCAGGCCGUUCCCACUCCCUGUGGAACUCCGUGGACUCCGGAUGCAGCCAGUGGGACGGGCACUUCUGUCGUCCCCAUUUGCAGAUGAGGAAACUGAGGCCCUGAAACGAGAAAGACCUAGCGGCAGAGCCAGACGUGUUCCAGAGUUCAUGACCUAAGGACAGCUCUGCCAGGGGAGAAGCCAUUGCCAGGAGGCCUGUCUGUGGAGUGGGUAGGGACGGCCUCCUGCUCUUCAGGGGAGGGAGGUCGAGAACGGCCCUCAGUGACCCCUUGCCGCUCUCCUGUCAGGCACAGAGUCCAUCGACCCCCCGCCAGCUCUGAGAGGUGCAGGGAAAGUGGUUUCCAGUGACAGUCGCCGUGGGCUGGACACGCUGGCCCUGCUGAACAGGAAGGCUAACCCAGACUUCCUGCGUCGGAUGGACUGAGCCUGGUUCUGUAUUCUGAUGCCAACAGGCGGCAUGGGACUCCCCGUGCACGCUGACCCACGGCUCUCGUUCCUGCAUCAGAGGAGACCCACAGCAGGAGAUGGUGACCUGCCAUGCAGUCCCCUGGGGACACGUGGCGGUUUGUGACUAUAGGUGCAUUGCUGCAGCAGGCAAGCUUCUUCCUCGGACUCCAGGUCUGUGGGAACCCACCUUCAGCUACGUGUUUACACAGAGGACAGCAGAGAGUGUCCACGGAGCAGCCUCUAACAGUACAUUCCCAAGUCUUGAUCCUCUGCCCUGAUGGCUUCCUGGCUGGGUGAGGCCGGACACAGUCACAUGGUGACAGGAGCUCCAGCCCAGUCUCUUCAUGCCAUAACACUGAAGCCACAGCUUGAAUUUUAAGUCCCCCCAAAGUGCCCGUGUUCAAGGCUCCAGCUGGGAGCCUCUAACAGGCAGGGCCUAGUGGGAGGUAUUGGGUCACUCUGACGUGCCCUCAAAGGACACUGCGGGACCCCAGUCUCUCUUUCUCCAUCUCAGCUCCAAGCCACGAGGAGAGCAGUUUUGUUCUGUCACCCACUUCCUGUCACCACCAUCAGCACCCACACCAGAGGCCUAAAUGCACGGCCCACCUG